rnacentral:rRNA from 1 species
AGUGAACGCUGGCGGUAGGCCUAACACAUGCAAGUCGAACGGCAGCACAGUAAGAGCUUGCUCUUACGGGUGGCGAGUGGCGGACGGGUGAGGAAUACAUCGGAAUCUACUUUUUCGUGGGGGAUAACGUAGGGAAACUUACGCUAAUACCGCAUACGACCUACGGGUGAAAGCAGGGGAUCUUCGGACCUUGCGCGAUUGAAUGAGCCGAUGUCGGAUUAGCUAGUUGGCGGGUGAAAUACCCACCAAGGCGACGAUCCGUAGCUGGUCUGAGAGGAUGAUCGGCCACACUGGAACUGGGACACGGUCCAGACUACUACGGGAGGCAGCAGUGGGGAAUAUUGGACAAUGGGCGCAAGCCUGAUACAGCCAUACCGCGUGGGUGAAGAAGGCCUUCGGGUUGUAAAGCCCUUUUGUUGGGAAAGAAAAGCAGCAGGUUAAUACCCCGCCGUUCUGACGGUACCCAAAGAAUAAGCACCGGCUAACUUCGUG